UGACUGCGUACCUUUUGUAUAAUGGGUCAGCGACUUAUUGUCUGUAGCAAGCUUAACCGUUUAGGGGAGGCGUAGGGAAACCGAGUCCGAAUAGGGCGUUCAGUCGCUGGGUGUAGACCCGAAACCAAGUGAUCUAUCCAUGGCCAGGAUGAAGGUGCCGUAACAGGUACUGGAGGUCCGAACCGACUAAUGUUGCAAAAUUAGCGGAUGAGCUGUGGAUAGGGGUGAAAGGCUAAACAAACUUGGAGAUAGCUGGUUCUCUCCGAAAACUAUUUAGGUAGUGCCUCAAGUAUUACCGUCGGGGGUAGAGCACUGUUAUGGCUAAGGGGGU
rnacentral:rRNA from 1 species